rnacentral:rRNA from 1 species
GUAGGGUGCAAGCGUUAUCCGGAUUUAUUGGGCGUAAAGGGCUCGUAGGCGGUUCGUCGCGUCUGGUGUGAAAGUCCAUCGCUUAACGGUGGAUCUGCGCCGGGUACGGGCGGGCUGGAGUGCGGCAGGGGAGACUGGAAUUCCCGGUGUAACGGUGGAAUGUGUAGAUAUCGGGAAGAACACCAAUGGCGAAGGCAGGUCUCUGGGCCGUUACUGACGCUGAGGAGCGAAAGCGUGGGGAGCGAACAGGAUCAGAUACCCUGGUAGUCCACGCCGUAAACGGUGGAUGCUGGAUGUGGGGCCCUUUCCACGGGUUCCGUGUCGGAGCUAACGCGUUAAGCAUCCCGCCUGGGGAGUACGGCCGCAAGGCUA